rnacentral:lncRNA from 1 species
AUGAUGGAGAAUCUUCUCAUUCCUCUGAAAAGCCUUAUUGCCACAUGGCUGAGCCCCAGCCCCAAUACCUUUGCGAUGGAUAUGAUCCUCGCCUUUGUGGGUGGAGUGGGGCUCUUCCUUUUGUUACUGCCCUGGCUCCAGGAUGAACCAACCUUACGGCCAUCAUCAUUGAGGAAAACUAGAAAGAUCAGAAAGCAUCCAGUGCUGAUGAGGUGGAAGAGCAGGAGUAGGAAGAGGACAGGUGCUCGCCUAGGUAAGGCUCUGCCUUUCAGUCCUGCAGUCCCAGAAUUAACGUGACCUUGCUUAUCCCUCAGGGGCCAACACCAGGGCUCCAAGGUUGUCAGCUGCAGAGCCCUGAG